UAGGGAAUUUUCCACAAUGGGCGAAAGCCUGAUGGAGCAACGCCGCGUGCAGGAUGAAUGCCUUCGGGUUGUAAACUGCUUUUAUAUGUGACGAUUUUGACGGUAGCAUAUGAAUAAGGAUCGGCUAACUCCGUGCCAGCAGCCGCGGUCAUACGGAGGAUCCAAGCGUUAUCCGGAAUUACUGGGCGUAAAGAGUUGCGUAGGUGGCAGUGUAAGCAAACAGUGAAAGCGUUCGGCUCAACCGAAUAUACAUUGUUUGAACUGCACAGCUAGAGGACGAGAGAGGUAAUUGGAAUUCCUAAUGUAGGGGUAAAAUCCGUUGAUAUUAGGAGGAACACCGAUGGCGUAGGCAGAUUACUGGCUCGUUCCUGACACUAAGGCACGAAAGCGUGGGGAGCAAACAGGAUUAGAUACCCCCGUAGUCC
rnacentral:rRNA from 1 species